rnacentral:rRNA from 1 species
UGGGGAGUAUUGGACAAUGGGCGAAAGCCUGAUCCAGCCAUGCCGCGUGUGUGAAGAAGGCCUUUUGGUUGUAAAGCACUUUAAGCGAGGAGGAGGCUACUUAGAUUAAUACUCUAGGAUAGUGGACGUUACUCGCAGAAUAAGCACCGGCUAACUCUGUGCCAGCAGCCGCGGUAAUACAGAGGGUGCGAGCGUUAAUCGGAUUUACUGGGCGUAAAGCGUGCGUAGGCGGCUUUUUAAGUCGGAUGUGAAAUCCCUGAGCUUAACUUAGGAAUUGCAUUCGAUACUGGGAAGCUAGAGUAUGGGAGAGGAUGGUAGAAUUCCAGGUGUAGCGGUGAAAUGCGUAGAGAUCUGGAGGAAUACCGAUGGCGAAGGCAGCCAUCUGGCCUAAUACUGACGCUGAGGUACGAAAGCAUGGGGAGCAAACAGG